GACGAACGCUGGCGGCGUGCUUAAUACAUGCAAGUCGAGCGGAGCGGCGAACGGGGGAGUAACGCGUGAGUAACUGCCCCCCUCUCUGGGAUUACAGUUGGGAAAGGCUGCUAAUACCGGAUAGUGGGGGAUGACUCGCGUCCUAUCAGUUUGUCGGUGGGGUAGUGGCCUGCCAAGGCGACGACGGGUGGCCGGCCCGAGAGGGCGACCGGCCACAUUGGGCUGAGGUACGGGCCAAACUCCUACGGGAGGCAGGAGUGGGGAAUAUUGCACAAAGGGGGAAACCCUGGUGGAGGAACGCCGCGUGCGGAAUGACUGCCUUCGGGUUGUAAACCGCUUUCAGCCAUGACGCGGUAGUGGCAGAAGAAGCACCGGCUAACUACGUGCCAGCAGCCGCGGUAAUAC
rnacentral:rRNA from 1 species